rnacentral:rRNA from 1 species
AUUGAACGCUGGCGGCAUGCCUCACACAUGCAAGUCGAACGAGUGGCGGACGGGUGAGUAAUGUCUGGGAAACUGCAUGAUGUAGGGGGAUAACUGCGGGAAAAGGUAGCUAAUACCGCAUACCAUCGGAUGUGCCCAGAGGGGAUGAGCUAGUCGGUGGGGUAAAGGCUCACCUAGGCGACGCUCCCUAGCGGGGCUGAGAGGAUGACACGCAACACGGGAACUGAGACACGGUACAGAAUCCUACGGGAGGCAGCAGUGGGGAAUAUUGCACAAUGGGCGCAAGCCUGAUGCAGCCAUGCCGCGUGUAUGAAGAAGGCCUUCGGGUUGUAAAGUACUUUCAGCGGGGAGGCGUUACCCGCAGAAGAAGCACCGGCUAACUCCGUGCCAGCAGCCGCGGUAAUAC